rnacentral:rRNA from 1 species
GCGCAUGCAGGUGGUUUGUUAAGUCAGAUGUGAAAGCCCCGGGGNUCAACCUCGGAAUUGCAUUUGAAACUGGCAAACUAGAGUACUGUAGAGGGGGUAGAAUUUCAGGUGUAGCGGUGAAAAUGCGUAGAGAUCUGAAGGAAUACCGGUGGCGAAGGCGGCCCCCUGGACAGAUACUGACACUCAGAUGCGAAAGCGUGGGGAGCAAACAGGAUUAGAUACCCUGGUAG